rnacentral:rRNA from 1 species
AGUGAACGCUGGCGGUGGGCCUAACACAUGCAAGUCGAACGGCAGCACAGUAAGAGCUUGCUCUUACGGGUGGCGAGUGGCGGACGGGUGAGGAAUACAUCGGAAUCUACUUUUUCGUGGGGGAUAACGUAGGGAAACUUACGCUAAUACCGCAUACGACCUACGGGUGAAAGCAGGGGAUCUUCGGACCUUGCGCGAUUGAAUGAGCCGAUGUCGGAUUAGCUAGUUGGCGGGGUAAAGGCCCACCAAGGCGACGAUCCGUAGCUGGUCUGAGAGGAUGAUCAGCCACACUGGAACUGAGACACGGUCCAGACUCCUACGGGAGGCAGCAGUGGGGAAUAUUGGACAAUGGGCGCAAGCCUGAUCCAGCCAUACCGCGUGGGUGAAGAAGGCCUUCGGGUUGUAAAGCCCUUUUGUUGGGAAAGAAAAGCAGCAGGUUAAUACCCCGCUGUUCUGACGGUACCAAAAGAAUAAGAACCGGCUAACUUCGUG